UGAGCAACAGUUACAUAAAUCUAUCAUUCUAUGAGGUGCUUUCUAAUUAUAUCAAGAAACUUUAUAGAUUUUCUUCAACCAAUCACAUGCUCGCUUCUUUACGUUUACACGAUUAAAGCCGAAGUAUUCAAACAGGAAAUUCCCUUUACUAACUUUAGACACAGAAUGUUAAAAAUAGUUCUUGUUCCGGAUAUACAGAAUGUAUGAUAUUCCCGCGGACAAUAAUGAACCUGGAACCGGCGACAGGAUGCGAAGAAAGUACUAGAGGUAACAGAAACAGUUUGCUGUAUGCUCUACGUCCAGUUAACAACUAAAUCCUCUUCGCUGACGUGGUCAUUUGUUGGAGCAAAGGGAGACAAUCAAUAUUGGUAUCAGCGUGAGACUACAUUAUAAAAGAGGAUAAGAAAGAAGAGGAGUAAUUAUUUCUAUUAAAAGAAGCAUUAU